rnacentral:rRNA from 1 species
AACGUAGGAGGCAAGCGUUAUCCGGAGUUACUGGGCGUAAAGCGUGCGUAGGCGGGUUGGUAAGUGGGUGGUGAAAGCGCUCGGCUAAACCGGGCGAGUGCCAUCCAGACUGCCAGUCUAGAGGCGGAUAGAGGGGUGCGGAAUUCCGGGUGUAGCGGUGAAAUGUGUAGAUAUCGUAAGGAAGACCAGUGGCGAAGGCGGGUCUCUGGACAGUUCCUGACGCUGAGGCACGAAGGUCAGGGGAGCAAACGGG